AAAAGAAAAAAAGAAAAAUCUUUUAUUCCUAUCUUAUAUGUCAUUACGUUUUGUUUAUUUGUAUUUAAUAUAUCGUAUUGCAGAAUUGUAUCGAUUUUUGGAAUUAUUUACACGUUUUAACGUUUAUCCUUAAACUCGUUAAUAUGUUGUAACCUUUUUAUCUCUGUUUAUAAUUGAAAUAUCCUUUUUUGCGAUAUAUCGAUAAACAAUACGACGAGAAGUUUAGUAACGAUAGGACAUAGUUACGCAAGUGCUCACGUUGUUUCUCCAUAUUCACGUGAAUAUAUUUUCCAAAAUAUAUAGAUAUUAUGCCGGAUAAUACGCAUUGAAAAUCAGGCAUAUAAACAUGUAUGUAUAUAUCUACGCACACGUACACAUACACACACAUAUAUAUAUAUAUAUAUAUAUAUUAUACUAUGUAUAACUAGAUAUAGUUCCAUUUGCGAACAACUGGGUAAACUACUAAACAACUCUCUGUAUUAGGACUGAAUUACCGAUUAAAUUCACUUUCCUCUUCGAGUUAGAUGAACCAAAUUGAAUUCGUUUAUUUCAAUCGCAAUUGUAUUCUCGAUCGAACUUACGUCGAAAAUGUUGAAUAUUUGAACAGAACAUUGAGAAGAUUCGCGUUAUUCGGCUUUUGAAUUUUACAUAUGUACUUGUACGAUCUAUAUAUAUAUAUAUAUAUAUAUAUAUAUAUAUAUAUAUAUGUAUAUAUAUAUAUAACGUUCCACAUGAUAUUACGUUUCUUUUGUUUACAGGACAAACGAGCUUGUAGUUUGUAGCUUGGUAACAUAGCUUCGACGAAUCGCACACAGCAUACACAGAUAGAUAUACAUAUAUAUACACACACACACACACACACACAUAUACAUAUAUAAAUAUAAAAUAUAUAUGGGAUACAAAUAGCAAAAAAGAGAAAGAACAGAUAGUACAUAUAUCAAAAAUGUUUGAAUUCUGGUGAUUCUCUAACCGAGAAGUAAACCUCUUCGUUCAUGGUUGAAAUAGAGAGAGAGAGAGAGAGAGAGAGAGAGAGAGAGAUAGUUGAUACUAGUAAAAGCAUUCCAUGGUCAGAAACUUACAAUCACUGUUUUAAAUGCCACAUUCUUAAGAGCAAAUACGAUAUUACGUUGCGUUCGUUACAUCCAUCACAUAUUCUCUAUUCCUUUAUAUAUAUAUAUAUAUAUAUGUACCUUUAACCAGCCUUAUUCCCUUUACUCCUUUUCGUUCAAUUUCACUAAAGUAUACGUAUUCCAUCCUUCCGGUUACUGAAAAGCCUCAUGAAAAAUUUUUCCUUUUUUUUUUCUCUCUCUCUCUCUCUCUCUCUCUCUCUCUCUUUCUCUCUCACUCGACUUUUCUUUCCUUUUUUUCUCUCACUUCAUCUACCUUUCGUUUUACGUCUUUCAAGUAAGUACUUUUGCCUCUUUUUAAAGUCGCCUGGCCAUGUUCACUUCGUUCACUUAAAACUCUACCAUCAAAUCUUUUCCCCUAACUCCCGUCGGCCCCCCUCCCCUAUAACUCACUCCUCAGUGCCCCCUCUCCUUUCCACCUUCACUCCUUCAAGGAAAUGACUGCUCCUUAGGUGAGCUUGGAUUUUUAAACCGUUCUCCUUCUUGUUGUUGUUCCUUCGAAUUUCUUCUUCAUUUGAUUUUAUUCUUUCAUUUCUUUUUCUCUUUUCAUUUGUUUCUUUUUGUCCUUUUCUUUUUUCGAUCUUUUUUUUUCCUUUUCUUUUCUUUUUUCUUUUUCUUCCUUUUUUCAACCCCCUAAACGAGCACCUUGGGAUGGUCACGCGUGCAAUUUAACAAUUUCCUUUUUUAUGACACAGAAAAUCUACUAUUAGGGACCAAAAGAAAAGCAAUUCUUUGAAAGCAAUUCUUCUUUUCUCUUUCGAACCAUUCUUUUUGUCAGAUUGUAAAAUCUAUUACAACUUUCAUAAGCGGUUAAAAGUUCAACUUAUAAAAUUAACUCUCUCUCUCUUUCUCUCUCUUUCUCUCUCUCUCUCUUUUCCUGUCAGUCGAAAAGUAAAAAAAAAAAAAAAAAAAAAAAGAAAAAAAAAGAGAACAAGUAAAUGGUUUUUAAUUAAUUAUUGGAUAACUUUCGAUUCGCCGUUUACAUAGAUACAUUAAUAGACGAUAGUUAUAUAAUUAUUUAUUUUCUAGUAUACAUAUAUAUAUAUAUAUAUAUAUGUGCGUGUGUGUAUACAUAUAUACGUAUAUAUAUAUCUUGUUCGGGAACGAAUUAUCUAAUAGUGUAGUUAUUCUAGUUUUAUUUUUGUUUGGAGUUGGUAAAAAGAAGAAAUGUUACAAUCGUGUUCUCUCAUGCGCUUGCCACGGAGGACUAUUUUCUCUCCUUUCCCCCUUUCGCCCCUCUCGUAUAAGCUUUCGACGAUCGAUCGAUCGCGUACCAGGAAGCAAAAGGCACUUUACGCUGACUACGACGCGACAAAUUAUUCAACGCUCGGCGAUGUCUCCACGCUAACGACGAAUACAGCUUGCUGAUACUCGUGUGAUUUCAACGGAUAGAAAGAUAAAGAUAGAUAGAUAGAUAGAUAGAUGGAUAGAGAGAGAGAAAGAGAGAGAGACAAUUGAAUGAAUCUUCAAUGAGAAUUUCUCGUUUGGUUGAUUGUUUGUUGAUUCUGUGAGAGCCAAAAGUCUUUUUACUAUCUUACAAUGAGAUUUUCUUAUAAUCGAUAUAAUCGAAUUAUUUGAUUUUUAAUAUGAUCCAAUAGAAAAGAAUUCACUUUUUUGUUUUUUUUUUCAGGUUUUAAUACUUCAAUGUAAAUUAAAAUUUUUCUUAUGUUAUCAAUCGAGUUAUAUUCCAAGUUUCGAAUGAUCCAUAGAAGGAAACCUUGAUUUAGUUAGAAGAAAUUGUUCGUUCACUGGUGAUACUAAAAGUUAUAUUGCCUAAUUCUAUUAUCGUGAAUCGAAUUAUUCGACUUUGAAGUGAUCGAUGAUAAUGAUAAAAAAAAAAAAA